AACGCACCUUGCGCUCCUUGGUAUUCCGAGGAGCAUGCCCGUUUGAGUGUCUUGAUAUCAUCAAACGCCCCUGCCUUUUCUGGUGGGUUGGCGAUUUGGACUUGGACGUGCUGCUGGGCGCUCUGCGCUCGGCUCGUCUUGAAUGCAUUAGCUGGAUCUCCCUCCGGCCUCGGACCUUAUGGCGUGAUAAGAUCACCCGUCGAGCAGUCCUUGGUCAACGUUGGGUUCCGCUUCCAACCGUCCCCUGCGGACAACACCGAAACCUGGUUUUCGACAUCUGACCUCAAAUCGGGUAGGACUACCCGCUGAACUUAA
rnacentral:misc_RNA from 1 species